GUGCUCACUUUGGCAACACAUAUACUAAAAUUGGGACAACACAGAAGUUUAACAUGGUUCCUGUGCAAGGAUGACACGAAAAUUAAUGAAGGGUUUCAAUUUUAU
rnacentral:snRNA from 1 species